rnacentral:sRNA from 1 species
UUGUCGAAUCCUCAAACGAAAACCUGUGAACACGUUCAAAAAUUCGCGUCGGGCGUCGGGGUAAAACCUGCGCCCCUCGCCACCUGCCCGGCCGAACGGCGACCAUACCGGGCUGUCGGUCGCGUCGGGCAACCGAAUCAAAAACCGGCGCGGGAAGCGCCAAGGACUUUACGAAAUGGGAUGCCUUCCUGCGGAGAGGGUCCGUUCGCGGAUUCCUCGCCGUGGGGCUAGAGGCGCCUCCGAACGAAACAUUACACGACUCUCGGCAACGGAUAUCUAGGCUCUCGCAUCGAUGAAGAACGUAGCAAACUGCGAUACUUGGUGUGAAUUGCAGAAUCCCGUGAACCAUCGAGUCUUUGAACGCAAGUUGCGCCCGAAGCCAUUAGGCCGAGGGCACGUCUGCCUGGGCGUCACGCAUCCGCGGCCCCCCACCCUCCGCCCGAAAGGGUCGCCGGCAGAGCCGGGGCCGGAGGUUGUCUUCCGGUCCUCGUUCCCGGCCAGCCUAAAAACGGUUCCCUGGCCGCGGAGGUGGCGACAGGUGGUGGUCUAGGGAUUGAAGCCGAGGCGCCGGCAAGGCGUGACGGGGAGAGCGGUGGGACUCUGUGCACGCGAGUCCCUCACCGAGGGGCGACCGCCACGACCAGCGACCAGGUCAGGCGGGGCUACCCGCUGAGUUU